rnacentral:rRNA from 1 species
AACGAACGCUGGCGGCAUGCCUAACACAUGCAAGUCGAACGAGACCUUCGGGUCUAGUGGCGCACGGGUGCGUAACGCGUGGGAACCUGCCCUUAGGUUCGGAAUAACUCCCCGAAAGGGGUGCUAAUACCGGAUAAUGUCUUCGGACCAAAGAUUUAUCGCCUUUGGAUGGGCCCGCGUUGGAUUAGCUAGUUGGUAGGGUAAAAGCCUACCAAGGCGACGAUCCAUAGAUGGUCUGAGAGGAUGAUCAGCCACACUGGGACUGAGACACGGCCCAGACUCCUACGGGAAGCAGCAGUGGGGAAUAUUGGACAAUGGGCGAAAGCCUGAUCCAGCAAUGCCGCGUGAGUGAUGAAGGCCUUAGGGUUGUAAAGCUCUUUUACCCGGGAUGAUAAUGACAGUACCGGGAGAAUAAGCUCCGGCUAACUCCGUG